UUUUAUGGUCAAUGAUGUUGCUGGCUCGUCAAGGGAGGGAACAGCUAAAAAGGUCCUUAGUCGAUGGAGGGGGACUACUGGUCCUGUUGUGGACCGUGGCCGGCCAGCCACCCAGCAGCCAGGUGGUCAACUGCACAGUUGCAGGACCCUGGUGCUCAGGAGUUCCAGUGGAAGAAGUCCAACCAGAUCAGUGCAGUCAAACUGGACAGGUGUACGGUGCAGUCACACACAGAAGGCUUCUUGCACAUACUGAGUCUGACUAACGCAGGGGUGAAAAUUCACCUCAAAUUGAAAUUGGAAGGAGAAACAUACCAGAGAAUCUUUAGUGGGAAGGCAGAGAGACUCGCCCUGAAGGACCAGACUGUGACCAUGGACGUUCCUCCUUCUAUCAUGCGGCCUCCCAUGUCAUUGGGAGCAGGCCCGUGGUGCCAGCGAGGCCAUCCUGUGUUAGGAGAUCCCCUCUGCAGUGACACUGUGUACUGUAUAGACAGAGCACAGUGUCAGGAACCUGAGCCAGAAUGGAUCCCCGCUGUGGAUCAGGCCCUCUCUCUGUUCCUGUUCCUCCAGCACAGUGACCAAUUCCUCUCCCAGCUCUCUGACUUCAUGGGCGGACACACUCACCGGCAGCAGACCUUCCAAGAACUAUGCAAGUGGGAAGGAAAUCUGAACAUGUUGACAUUUCCGUUUUCUUGUAUAAUAACAGUGUCACGACUUCCGCCGAAGUCAGUCCCUCUCGUUUGGGCGGCGUUCGGUGGUCGACGUCACCGGCUUUCUAGCCAUCGCCGAUCCACUUUUCAUUUUCCAUUUGUUUUCUCUUUGUCUUACACACCUGGUUUCAAUUCCCCAAUUACUUGCUCAUUAUUUAAC
rnacentral:lncRNA from 1 species